UCACUUUGGUAGUGCAUAUACUAAAAUUGGAACAAUAGAGAGAAGAUUAGCAUGGCCCCUGCACAAAAAUGGCAUGCAAAUUCAUGAAGCGCUCCAUGUUUUU